GAAAUGCGAUAAUUAAUGUGAAUUGCAGAAUUCAGUGAAUCAUCGAGUCUUUGAACGCACAUUGCGCCCCCUGGUAUUCCGGGGGGCAUGCCUGUCCGAGCGUCAUCUCUGCCCUCAAGCACGGCUUGUGUGUUGGGCUUCCGUCCCUGGCAACGGGGACGGGCCCAAAAGGCAGUGGCGGCACCAUGUCUGGUCCUCGAGCGUAUGGGGCUUUGUCACCCGCUCCCGUAGGUCCAGCUGGCAGCUAGCCUCGCAACCAAUCUUUUUAACCAGGUUGACCUCGGAUCAGGUAGGGAUACCCGCUGAACUUAAGC
rnacentral:misc_RNA from 1 species